rnacentral:lncRNA from 10 species
CUGCCGCCGCCACCGCCUCAGGGAAGAGGAAGGAGGCCGCGGCUUCGCGUCCCGCCUCUCGCCUGGCUGGCCGUGGGGGGCCUGGACGCAGUGGCCUCCCGAAUCUCCCAGGACCCUAAUAUCGCCCGAGGAUGCUGGGAGGAACGCUGAGCCGACCUCUCCGUUAGGCUGAAGAUUGCACAAACCAUGCUAAUGGCCAGCAUGGAUGGAGGGAGCGUGUGAGAUGUGUGGGGCAGCGUGCUGCAUCUCAGCCAACUCCAGGAGCCAGUUGAUGUGAUGGACUACCUUAAUUGAUUUUUGAAUGUUGAGCCAGCCUUAUGCAUGUGGGAUAAACCCCUGUUGAUCAUGGAGCUCCCAGGCCUCUACAGUUUGCUGGGUCCCAUUACUUUCUGAGACAGGUGAGAUGGAAACAAGUCUCUUGGGAAGGCUCCCAAAAAGCCCAUUGUCAUAGAAAGCACCUGGCUUCUAAU